rnacentral:lncRNA from 1 species
GCCCUCCUCCUAAGACAUCCUCUUCUUACAUUCCACUGAACAGAAAACCAUCCCUUCUACUGGCAUGAACUUCUGCCCAAUGAGGCAUUUGCUGCAGCAAGAGCACAGAAAGCACUCUGUGGAUGCAUGCCAGCUGAAAUUGUUAUAGGUCACCCGCUGCACUUCUGGGUCGAUGGCAUUGUGGCAUCCUUGACACACCUAUUAAGAAAUAAUACAAGAGAAGAGGGUGAGAGAUCAAGCUGUAAUGGUAACAUUUUCAUCUUAGGACAUAUUUCUUUAGAUGAUAAAUUAAAACUCAUAAUGACAACCUCAGAAAUACACAAUGGAGGGUGGCCUUCUAGCUAACCUUUUUGGCCAACUGUUAAUGGAGGUCAAUAUUCUGAGCAGCCUGAGAAAUAACGAGUGAAGGCCAAACAGGUGAUUUGAUGCAUGUAAGAUAACUUCAUGGCAUUCAAGGCAGAAAGUCUUGAUGGGAAGUUCCAAAGCAGUGUGCUUAGUUCUGAUGUAUUUUAUUAGAUUGCACAUUUGUAAUUACACAGAAGUUUAUGAUUUUUCCUUGUUCAUUAAAGCUUUGAAGUGGUAAUUUUACCUGUCUUACCUAUGACACAUGAGAUUAUUAACACCACUAAUUUCUAGACAGUAGUAAAUUAAAAUCAUGUUCAAAGUAAUUAAGGACUCAAUUAAAAAUACUGACAGUGUUUGAGAAAAAUGAAUUUGCACUAAAAAUAUAACUUGUAGUUAAUUGGCUUCUAUUCUGUCAUAAGAUCAGUCAUAAUUUAUGUGUAAUCUAAUAUUGUAGAACAUUAAUACUUACAAUCCCUGUACCAUUCAGUAUGUGUUAUGUAUAUAUACAUGACAUACAAACAUGUAUAUACAUACACAAACAUACAUACAUUUACACCACAAAAUUUUCUUCUUAUUCAAACAUGCACAUGAGGAAAAUGAAUAAAUAACCUAUGUUAUAGCAGAAAACAGAAAACCAGUUCGGACCUCUGAAACACUGGAUAGUCCAUGCCUUAUAGUUUAUACAUGUUCUGAAUGAAUAUGGCUGUCUUAAAGUUUUUGUUUUAAAUAUUUCAUAACAAGUGAAGAAGCCAGCAAGACUGUCUGGUAUCACAGUGACUAAUCUUAAGCACCCUUGGUCUCGUAAUGUGAUUGUCAGGAAUUACUGAGGGAUAAGGGGUGGGAACAGGUGAGUGGAGGUCAUUCAGCUUGAGCCUCCUUACUUGAAAAGACUUCAAAAUGUGGCUGCUACUCACUGGGUAAUUGGUUUAGGCAGUGAAGUGAGGCCUGGUUAUAUAUGUCCAUUUCAGACCUGCAUAUUUUUGUUACAUUGCUUCUGAUUACAGAGAUUAUAGCUCUGUAAUCUAUAAGUUAGGUCAACCCAGUCUUCCCUGAGAUACAAUGAAAAUUCUUUGAUCAACACACUAUUCCUGAAUACUAUAAAAAUGAACGUUUCAAUUACAAGCACAUUUCUAAUGUGCAGCUGCACCAUGCAAGCAACUGCUUUUUGUAUAUAUUUUUAUAGCUUUAUUAUGCAUUUAGAAUGUCUUAUUUUCUGCAUUUCAUAUUAAUCUUUCCAUUUUAAAAUUUAUGAUCAACACAUAAUUGUACAUAUUUAUGGGUGUACUAUGUGAUGUUUCAAUACAUGUAUACAUAGUGUAGUGAUCAAAUCAGGGUAAUUAGGAUAUCCCUCUCCUUAAACAUUUAUGAUUUCCUUGUGAUAAGAACAGUCUUUCAAUAUUUCUUGUUUAUGUAUUUUGAAUGUGUUCUUGUAAAAUACACCGUGUGUUUUAUUCCCUUGCUUUCAGACCAUGAUCUAUCUUCUUUUUCUCAGACCUGUGAUUUUUUAAAAUUACCCAAAACACACAUUUUCAGUUGCAAUUUACAAAAAAGAGAUAACUAAUGUUCAAUUACACAUGAAAUUAAGAAAAUUAAGCAAAAAGAUAAUUAGUACACAUAAAUGGUAUAGAGAAUUAAAGUCUGGGGUUUCAUAAAAUUUCAUUUUACUAAUAAUUUGAUUACCAUUCAUUCAAAAUCUGACAUGUAAUCACAGGUCGAAUCUACUGUUCCCUAAUUCCUCAAAAAUCUAAAAUUGGCCCAGGCUGCGCCAAGGGCCUGGGGACUGCAGAACCCUUCAGGGAGAUGAUGUGCUUCACCACUUCCUGCCUGCCAUUUGAUCUUCCCAUGUUCCUAAACCUUUAAUAUUUCAAAGAAUUCUUAUUUCCUUCAAUCCCUCUUCUUAUUUGUACACAGGAUGUAAAAGAGCUAAUGACACCUGUUGUAAUGAGCUCUCUGCAGGAGUGUCCUAUGAAUCUGACGGAUGUGAAUUCUGGGGGUAACUAUGGAGUUCUAGUGACUACACAGAGACAAAGUAGGUGCAUCUGCCAUGUUUUUUCCUUCCAGGUACUUUUUUUUUUUUUUCUCAGAAAUGUUGUUUGGAGUUGAGCACUUGAUUUCAGGUCUAAAAAUAAUUUGUAUUUUCUCUCUUUAAGAUGAAAAGAUCUAAGCAGAUCAAUGCCCUGAACUAGAUAACCUUCUCCAAAUUUUAUAUAAUGUAGCAUGCUGUGUGGGUAGCUCUCUUUGCUGUUAGCUGGAAUCUGUUCUGGCAAUGGAUAUGUAUGCUCAUUUUAAUAUUAGGCAAAGGCCAAUGGUAUAUCCCACUGAGAAAGUAAACAUAAAAGAAAUGAUGCUACACACACACACACACACACACACACACACACACACACAUAUAUAUAUAUUUUUUUUGAGACGGAGUGUCGCACUAUCAAUCACCUGGGCUUGGGGUGCAGUGGCAGGAUCUCGGCUCAUUGCAACCUCCACCUCCCAGGUUCAAGCAAUUCUCCUGCCUCAGCCUCCCAAGUAGCUGGAAUUACAGGCACCUGCCACCACGCCCAGCUAAUUUUUUUGUAUUUUUAAUAGAGACGGGGUUUCACCAUGUUGGCCAGGCUGGUCUCGAACUCCUGACCUCAUGAUUCGCCCACCUUGGCCUCCCAAAGUGCUGGGAUUACAGGCGUGAGCCACCAUGCCUGGCCAAAAUGAUGCUAUGCUAUAAAACUAAAU